GAAACCAACAGGGAUUGCCUCAGUAACGGCGAGUGAAGCGGCAACAGCUCAAAUUUGAAAUCUGGCCCCCCGGGCCCGAGUUGUAAUUUGCAGAGGACGCUUCUGGCACGGCCCGCUCCGAGUCCCCUGGAACGGGGCGCCGCAGAGGGUGAGAGCCCCGUACGGUCGGACGCCGGCGCCAGUGUGAAGCUCCUUCGACGAGUCGAGUAGUUUGGGAAUGCUGCUCAAAACGGGAGGUACAUUCCUUCUAAAGCUAAAUACCGGCUGGAGACCGAUAGCGCACAAGUAGAGUGAUCGAAAGAUGAAAAGCACUUUGAAAAGAGGGUUAAACAGCACGUGAAAUUGUUGAAAGGGAAGCGCCCGCGGCCAGACUUGGGCCUGUCCGAUCACGCGGCGCUCGCGCCGCUGCACUCGGGCCGGCGCAGGCCAGCAUCGGCUCGCGCGGGGGGACAAAGGUCCCGGGAACGUAGCUCCCCUCGGGGAGUGUUAAUGCCCGGGGCGCAAUGCCCCCGCGGGGGCCGAAGGUACGCUCUCCGCAAGGAUGCUGGCGUAAUGGCCGCCGGCGACCCGUCUUGAAACACGGACCAAGGAGUCAAGGUUUUGCGCGAGUGUUUGGGUGUCAAACCCGCACGCGCAAUGAAAGUGAACGCUGGUGGGAGCCUCGGCGCACCACCGACCGAUCCUGAUGUCCUCGGAUGGAUUUGAGUAGGAGCGCAGUGCCUUGGACCCGAAAGAUGGUGAACUAUGCUUGGAUAGGGUGAAGCCAGAGGAAACUCUGGUGGAGGCUCGCAGCGGUUCUGACGUGCAAAUCGAUCGUCAAAUCUGAGCAUGGGGGCGAAAGACCAACCGAGACAUCUAGUAGCU
rnacentral:rRNA from 1 species